rnacentral:misc_RNA from 1 species
UACGGAGGGUCCAAGCGUUGUCCGGAAUCACUGGGUGUAAAGGGUGCGCAGGCGGGCUUGUAAGUCAGGGGUGAAAGCCACCGGCUCAACCGGUGAAUUGCCUUUGAUACUGCAAGUCUUGAGUCCUGGAGAGGCUGUCGGAAUUCGUGGUGUAGCGGUGAAAUGCGUAGAUAUCACGAGGAACACCGGAUGCGUAAGCGGACAGCUGGACAGGUACUGACGCUCAGGCACGAAAGCGUGGGGAGCGAACAGG